ACUGGGAUGACUUUACACCGAAUCAGUCUGUUCAUGUCACCUCAAAGACAGCAACAAUUACUUGUAAUUAUCCCCACGUCUUUGAGAACCAUAAAAAAUUUCUGUGCAAGGGGAAGACUCCUUUUAAGUGUGUUGAUUUAAUAAAUGCAACUGAACCGGAGAGAGAUAUAACUAAAGGCAGGUUCCAUAUCAGGGAUAAUAAAAGAACGAAGUCUUUCUAUGUGAACAUCUCUGAGCUGAGCACAGCUGACUCUGGAACGUACUGGUGUCACUGUGGCAGAACAACGCAGCCACAUGAAUACACCAAAAUACUACUUUCUGUAGGUGGAACCAGGAUGGGAGGCCCUCCUGAACCACAAAAUGUACUAGAUGAGAUGCAGAGUACUACAGAGCAUGAAACUAAACCUCUAACCACAGGUGUGAUUGUUGGUACAGUGGUGCGUCUGGCAUCAUUAGUGGUAGCUGUGGCCACACUAAUACUGUUCAGAAGGAAACUAAUCAGGUUUACAGGCGAAUCAUCAGAGCAGAGGACGGACACUGGGUGAAACACAGGGAAAUAAUGGAGAUUAACAUUACCACGGUUUAGAGAUAUUAGAAAUACAGUUGCAGAACCAGCCAGUGACGAUGGAGCACGCUGUUAUGGAUUUGAAUGUUUCCUCUACAGAAAUACGCCCAAGAACAGGAGGAGCAAUGUUCCCCAGCUUUGAACUAAUCAUGCAUAUGGAUAUGGACUAUGAGAGCUGACAACUGCUUUAAAUCAGUCCUUCUCUGUAAAAACAGGCUCGCAUAAUGGUUUGAUGCGCUACUUAACUCAUGUUAUCAGGAAACCAUACUCACAUAAAUAACCACUCAGAGGAAGAAAGUACCUGGUGUUGGUUUCAUUUUAACCACUGAUUCGGGGUUGUUGUUCUGUUUCCAUUUCAUGAGUCAAGUUUAUUUUUGCAGCUUCUAUGACCUUUUCUUUGAACAGGUGCAAUGCAUUUGUAGGGUAAACUAAGGCCCUCACAGUCCUAUAUUAUUCAUCAGUUGACUGUAACAUGCUUCACUAAAGCUCAAACUAAUUAUGUACACUAGCGACAAUGAAUGCAUGUCCUUCAGCAGUCCUACACCAAACCUUGGUUGCAUUAAUAAAUAACUUAAAUAACUGAAAGAAGUGUUGAUUUUAGAGUUGUGAUUUGUAGUACUGUUGAAUUAUUAUAUAACAGAAACACUUAAUUAACCAGCACCUCAAACUGUGUCCUCUAAAAUGGUCAUCCACAUGAAUCACCACCUUUCUGAU